AUUGUGAAUGAUAAACUUUAUGUUGUCUUAACGAGCUACGAAAGCUGCUGCAUUGUGGACGUUUCGUUUUACCGCUCUACGGUUAUGCGACGUCUAACAGGCUUUCUGCUUUUUCUCCAACUGUUUAUUCAACAAGCGUUUGCCAGGAAGUAUCCUUUGAGAAACGUCACCAUUCCAACCGCAUGUCUCGUUUCGCCUUAUCUUGGCAAUGAAUGUCAGCCACCAGCCGAACACUGGUAUUACGACACUGACCUCCGCUCCUGCGAAAUGCUCACGUCUGGGUUGUGCACCUCUAGCAGCAACAGCUUCAAGAACGAAAGCAUAUGCAAGCAAAAAUGCCAUGCGCCUUCUGGACGACCGUCAUCCUUAUGUCUGCACAAACCUGAAUCGCGAGCGUGCUCUAAUAUAUAUCACGCCUGGUACAUCGACGUGCGCAGCCUGGAAUGCAAAGUGUUCAGCUAUGUUUACUGCAAAAAGCACAUAAACUUCUUCAGCUCAGAAAUGAAGUGUCAGGCCGUGUGCUUACCCCAAAAAACUCCAAAGCCCCUUUGCAGCCUGCCACCAGUGUCAGCGUUUUGCGUACACCAGAGAUAUCAUUGGUACUUUAAGGAACAGGGAAACAUCUGCCUGGCUUAUCUGAA